AUUCCAGCUCCAAUAGCGUAUAUUAAAGUUGUUGCAGUUAAAAAGCUCGUAGUUGGAUUUCUGGGAGGGUGCCAAUGUCCGUCGUCGUACGUGUUGCAGCGGCGCCCUUCCAUCCUUCUGUUAACGACUUUGGGCAUUCACUUGCCGGAGUCGGGCUCAGAUAUUUUACCUUGAGAAAAUUAGAGUGUUUCAGGCAGGCUAGGCCGGAAUACAUUAGCAUGGAAUAAUGGAAUAGGACUUUGGUACUAUUUUGUUGGUUUGCAUACCAAAGUAAUGAUUAAGAGGGACAGUUGGGGGUAUUCGUAUUUAAUUGUCAGAGGUGAAAUUCUUGGAUUUAUGAAAGACGAACUACUGCGAAAGCAUUUACCAAGGAUGUUUUCAUUG
rnacentral:rRNA from 1 species